rnacentral:antisense_RNA from 1 species
CGUCCAUGUUAGGUAAAACGACCGAUUCCGCGAUAACAUCUCGCAGCUGCUUCUCAAUUGCCUUUAGGACCAUACUAAUUUGGAUCUUCCGCUCACUGACUACCGGGAUGAUCUCCAUUUCAAUCUUGGGCAUCUUAGUGAAGCCAUACCAUAUCCUAUUGCUUGGCGGCUCCUUGAUUUGCACCAAAAGAUUACCUUCGAAUGAUUUUAGAACAACAGCCAAUACAAGGUCUACUACAUAUGGCUUAAAGCCGGUAGGGAUAGUAGCAGUCGUCGCGAUGGUCAGUCGAACAUCUGAGGCGGGCUGGGAAGCACGUGAACGGUGUUGGACAUGGACCUCAAAAGCUGCUGUACCCGAUGCCGUCAAGUCUUUAAGCAUCGGUUUGGAAAAAAAAGGAGGAGAAGAUCCAACGUUAACUUCUCGCACGACAAUGGGACUGAGGAAACUAGGUCUUGGGACUUUUGAUAAUUUCUUCAUAAUUUUGCUUAUGAUAAAUUGCUCGAACGCUUCUGUCCUGUAGUAUCCAAAAAAAACUCGACCCAUGAAGGCAUUGAACCAUCUCAUAGGUAUGGGGUCUGGUUCCGUAUCGAUAGUGUCCACCAUAUUUUGCAUAUCUUUGCUUGAGAAUACAUCGUCAAAGGUGGGUUGGCAAGAGGACACCUGAAGUAAAGCCAUGUACCAGUCUUCCAUCUUGGUGUUAGAUUUUGAGAACAAAUAUAUUGGCCCACUGGCUUCCCCAUCUGCAUCUUCAGCACU